CGGGCUUGAAAGUUAGUGAAUGUUUUGGAAACAGAACAGGCUCGCAAGAGACACGAAACUAGGUGCUGCAUGGUUGUCGUCAGCUCGUGCCGUGAGGUGUCGGCUUAAGUGCCAUAACGAGCGCAACCCCUGUUGUUAGUUGCCAUCAGGUGAAGCUGGGCACUCUAACGAGACUGCUACUGUAAGGUAGAGGAGGGUGGGGAUGACGUCAAAUCAGCACGGCCCUUACGUCCGGGGCGACACACGUGUUACAAUGGUCGGUACAGAGGGUUGCUACCUGGCGACAGGAUGCUAAUCUCAUAAAACCGGCCUCAGUUCGGAUCGGAGUCUGCAACUCGACUCCGUGAAGCUGGAUUCGCUAGUAAUCGCGCAUCAGCCAUGGCGCGGUGAAUACGUUCCCGGGCC
rnacentral:rRNA from 1 species